rnacentral:lncRNA from 1 species
GUGGUCGCAUGCGCGUGGGGUUGAGAUGAGCUUGAGCGUGUAGACGACAUAAGUGACGGAGACAAAAAGGACGAGAAUGACUAAAAGCUUAGGUAAGGUUCGGUGGUGUGCAGUUGGUGCAAUGAGCGUGGUAGCAGGCGUUCUCAUCUGUUCCCAAAUAACUUUCUCUGACUCUUUCUCACCCAUUGCAGAUGUUGCAAUUGCAGAUGCAGAGAGAAGCGAUAGAGGGCCUUCAAAGCCCACAAACAAAUAACAAAAAAGCCCACACUUGGAUCUUAAAAGAGGAAGAGGAACCAAAUUAUGGAGUAUGAGCCUACUGCCACUUACCAACACAGCUUUUCUCACC